rnacentral:rRNA from 1 species
CCUACGGGAGGCAGCAGUAGGGAAUUUUCGUCAAUGGGCGCAAGCCUGAACGAGCAAUGCCGCAUGAACGAGGAAGGUCUUCGGAUCGUAAAGUUCUGUUGAAGGGGAAAAAGAGCGGAGAGAGGAAAUGGUCUCCGAUUGAUAUUACCCUUCGAGGAAGUCACGGCUAACUACGUGCCAGCAGCCGCGGUAAUACGUAGGUGGCGAGCGUUAUCCGGAAUGAUUGGGCGUAAAGGGUGCGUAGGCGGCCUGCUAAGGCAGGAGUGAAAGGUACCGGCUCAACCGGGACAGGCUCUGGAAACUGGCGGGCUAGAGAGCAGGAGAGGGCGGUGGAACUCCAUGUGUAGCGGUAAAAUGCGUAGAUAUAUGGAAGAACACCAGUGGCGAAGGCGGCCGCCUGGCCUGUUGACUGACGCUGAGGCACGAAAGCGUGGGGAGCAAAUAGGAUUAGAUACCCCUGUAGUC